AAGAGGUAGAGAUUUGCAACUAAAUAAAAUACCAACAUUUUAUUGUGCCUUUCCAGUAUACACAUUCCUACGUAUACAUAUAUCUUCCUCAUUCUCAUUCCAACAAAAAAACUAACAAGUAGGCAUUCAUUUUUUUCUCACCUCUAGUUAUUUUAUAUUCAUCUGUCUCUAGAUGUCCUUCUAUGCACAUUGCUCACCAACCUAAACACCAAUACAUAACUCUUGAAAGACAACGGAAGCCUUCUCAUAAACACAAACUCAACACCAUCCAAACUAUAUUACCUAAGUUACUACUAUAUUCCAUAUUGUGCAGCCCGCAUCAACACAUUCAAAACAAUAUGUAGUGACUUAUUAAUAAGCCAUGUCUGUUCAAAAUCAUCACUAUCAUUUUUCAAUUUCUGUUCUCAUUUUCAUCAACUCCUGUGGGAGUAAAGUCCCCAACAAGCCUAGAAAAUAUACCAACAAAUCAAAAGUUGAACCUUUAUACACCAAAGUUCCAAACUGAAUCAGUUUAGUAAGAAUCGAGGUACCCAUCUCCAUCUCCACCCUCUCAUUCUCAGCUACCUGGUAGCAUUUUGUUUCUCCCAUGGCGGAGAUCCUCGUUUGGUCGGCGUCGUGAGGAGGGGAUAGAGGAGAGGACCAUACCUUAUUCUCCAACCCGUUUUGGUGUUGCGUGGAAGCUAGAACCACCAGCCAUCGUUGUCUUCCUCCACCGGUUUGAAUCUUAGCCAUCGCUGGAGAGGAUGAGUGAUUGAAGUUUUAGGGAUGUCAUUCCCUUCCUUUUCACGUUUUGAUUAUGCCUUAAACAGGAAAAACAGGAUCUUAUGUUCCAAAAAUACCCCGUCCC
rnacentral:lncRNA from 1 species